UAAAACUUUCAACAACGGAUCUCUUGGUUCUGGCAUCGAUGAAGAACGCAGCGAAAUGCGAUAAGUAAUGUGAAUUGCAGAAUUCAGUGAAUCAUCGAAUCUUUGAACGCACAUUGCGCCCUCUGGUAUUCCAGAGGGCAUGCCUGUUCGAGCGUCAUUUC
rnacentral:rRNA from 1 species